UACGUAGGGUGCAAGCGUUAAUCGGAAUUACUGGGCGUAAAGCGUGCGCAGGCGGUUGUGCAAGACAGAUGUGAAAUCCUCGGGCUCAACCUGGGAAUUGCAUUUGUGACUGUACGGCUAGAGUGUGUCAGAGGGGGGGUAGAAUUCCACGUGUAGCAGUGAAAUGCGUAGAGAUGUGGAGGAAUACCGAUGGCGAAGGCAGCCCCCCUGGGAUAACACUGACGCUCAUGCACGAAAGCGUGGGGAGCAAACAGG
rnacentral:rRNA from 1 species